UGGUAGCAGAGGAUGGUUUACUAACGAUCCAGUCGAAGUGAGUUGAUGUGGGUGUGAGAGGGCGAGUUGGUGAAAGGACGGUUCGCUGGAGGACAGGUGAAGACAUUCGGGGGAGGACAACAAUUCUGCUCAACUCGGGAAACUGAUCACAAGGGUCGACCUUAAACAAGGAUUUUAUGCAUUACAGGUGAACUACAGGUGAAGUCACUCAAUCCAGUCCCAGAGGCUUGGGGACCAUAGAAGACCCCUGGUGACAGCUAGCUGAAAGAGCUACCCAGAUUCAUAUCGCACGGCGGCAGGGUAAGACACUUUUCACUGUCGGACAAUAAACAGUGUUCGGGAGAAGAACUGGAAUUAACAGAAUUCCGGGGGCCAUCUCUCGAAUGAAGUAACCCUCCCUGUCCUGUCACCCCUGUUUUUGUUCAUAGAAGUGAAGAUGUGUCUGGCUCUGGCUAAGUGAUGUGUAUUUUGUUCCAAAAUAAGCAUAAGAGAUCCCUAGAUCUGGGUAGACAGGAAGUUAGAGUAGAGAUUACAUGAUAACCGACUUUGGACAGUUCUAGGAUUGGAGAAGAGGGUAUCCUUAUAGCAUGGGGGAUCCCACAAAGGUGGAUAGGUUUUCCAUGAUAUGGGGAAACCUGGGAGCACUGUUGAACUUUGUAAAGGUGAUGAAAUCCUACUAACCAUCAAAACUAUUAAGCUCUCUGAUGCAGGCACUCACACCCUCGGACUACAAAGGACGAGGACAGACAUGAUGGGUGUGUUUUCUAUUAAGGUGCUGCCAAAACCAGAGGUCACAGACGAACCACACUCCUCUACCACCACUGUGUUAAAAAUACCAUUCAGGUAAUUAAUGUUAGAGACUAUUCGGGUAUGGAUCAAUUACGCACUGAGACUGGUUUGGAUGGUAGGGACAAUUUGUGGCUGUCUUAUAUGAGGUACACAGCUAAAACCCUGAGAAGAAAGGACUGCAUUAUUUGUAGUCAUGCUAGACCUGUUCUGGCUACACACCCAUUUGCUGUAGGAGAAGGAGAGGGGUGGUUGUGUAUUCUGAGAAGUUUUUACCAGGUUAAGCCCAAUUCAACCCUCUGUUCCUCUUUGAGCCUUGUGUUUCCUGCAGUACCUCCUCAUCGAGCCUCUUGGGGUGUUGAGGCAUAUGGGGGCAAUUACAGUUGCAUCACGGGUACAGGUAAUGGCAUUGAUUAUGGGAGAUUGCCUGAAGCUGAUUGCAGUAGUAACAUAACCAUUAAUUCCACUUGGCCAGUUACAGGCCUAAACCAAACUAGUGGUCUGGCUGAUGUGUGGUGGAUGUGUGGAGCCAAAAGAGUGCUGAGACCCAUUCUUAGAGGAGAAUGGCAAGGUACGUGUGGUCUGACCAGUUUGAUAAUUCCACUGACCAUUGUUGAUGUUACUGCUGAACAGCUGUUGGGUUCUGUAUCCAGGGGACCUGAAAACAUUCCAACCCAUGGGAGACAUAGAUGUAGUGCUCCAUGGACAGAGGAUGUAGUUGACAUACACACUAACCUGUUGGGAGUGCCAGUGGGGGUUCCUCAUGAGUUUCAGGCCUUGGGUAGGAAUGAUGGACUCUGGCACUUCCUACCUACUAUGGGUCCAGCCAUAGUGGAUGCUAGACAGACUGCAUGGAUUAAUUAUAUCUACUAUAAUCAACAGCGUUUUGUGAAUUACUCCCGUGAUGCACUCACUGGUAUGUCUGAACAGCUUGAGGCCACAUUUGGGGUUUCCAGACAGAAUAGACUUGCCUUGGAUAUGCUUCUUGCCAGUCAGGGGGACGUCUGCAAGAUGUUCGGUAAACAAUGUUGCACGUAUAUUCCUAAUAAUACCAGUCCAGAUGGUAGUAUAUCUAAGGCGGGCUUGAUGCACUAUCUGCUAAGAUGAGGUCCAUGGCGGGGGUGGAGGAGUCUGACUGUUCAAAUGAGUUGGGAGCCUGGUUUGGUAAGUACACUGGUAUGGUGGUUACUGGAUUUCUGACCCUAAUUCUUGUAUUAUUUGUUAUUGAUGUGAUGUGCUGCUUGCAUCAUACCGUGUUUUAAGAAGUCUGUUACAGAUGUGAUGAAGGCUUCAGGCAUGAUGCCUUUGCUUGAUGUUCCAGUUGGAGAUGCCGAUACUGAAGCAUGCUUUCAGGGGAGGAUGGGACUGACUGAGGAUGACACAUGGUAUGCUGUGGGUGAGGUAGUAGAAUACAUUUUACACCACCACAGUUCCUUGUUAUACAUUUUUAUGAUAGGUUUUCUUUCCAGUAUGUUUGUUCUCCCUGUUGUGAAGGUUUAGAGUCCCUGGGUGGCAAGGAGCCCACCUGGUACAGGAUAGGAGUAGCUGAGAGGACCAGAUGGUUUAUAAUAAUGCUUUGCUCUGUUUUCCAUGACCAAAGUUGUAUCCUAUAUCUUACAUGUCAAUAAACAAUAAAGUUUUAUCCUGUUUUUGAUAAGUGACACCCUUGUGGGUGUCAAAAGGGGGACUUAAAUUUCACACCUUUUUCUUUUGUUCUGUUUUUAAAUGAGCUGUUGUUCUCUUUUGACAUGAGGGUUGUAAGUUCCUAGGUGGCUGGUAGCCAAUCUAGUACAUAGUGGGAUCGAAUGGAGGACAUGAAGGUAUUUUAAACUUUGUAACUGUUAUGAUUCAUUGCUGAAUUUAUGUUCACACCCUUGGGGUUAUUUUACAUUAUAGCCAUUACCAUAUAUACGAUUGAAUAUUAUCUGCUGUUGCCUUGUGUGGAUGUAUGUAUGUGUUAUGCAACCUAGCUGAUUUGAAACAUUGUUAAAAGUAUCAGGGCCAUGGGACUUUCUCAUGAUGGAAAAAUACAGAGUAGCAUGAAGACGAACUGUUCAAAUGAGUUGGGAGGGGGGCACAUUCAGAGCGGGGUGUUGCGAGAACAAGCGGUCUUUUGUUAGAUAACAGGAGCCAGGUGCGAGAUAACAGUAUGGAGCAUAAGACCCAUCUUUCAGUUUUUGCAGCCAUUUUAGUGUUGUGCGGAUUUUGAGCUUCUCCAUUCUAUGUCGUGCCUCUUCUAAAUUGGGAAGAAGGGGCAUGUGGACCAUUCCGCCUGACUUGCCUAGUUUAUGUCACAUCUCUUAGGAGAUGUGAAGAGAGGGAAUCACAAAACUUUUCCUUCUGGGAAAAGUUUUCUUUUUGUGUCUGGAUCUAGUUAGGUUGUGUCACGUCUCUGGGGAGAUGUGAAGAGAGGGAUUUGUAAGGAAGUGCUAUUUCUUAUGCAGGUGACCAGCCUACUGCUAUUACAUUGCUAUAGCUGAGACAACGUAUUUUCACAGUAAAACAUGUUAGGUCCCAUACAGGAUAGCUCCCACACCCACACACACAGCACACACACAUUACACACACUAACUGCCGAGGACACACAGAUAAGACACCCACACAUUGGGAGGAAGAGACAGCCUUGACUUGCAGACAAACCAGCGUACACACCUAAUCUCCUUUCUAGCCGAACAUUGUGUGACUGAGGACAGCGCACACACCAAAUCUCCUUUUUAGCCGAACAUUGUGUGACUGAGGACGGGACCCGGAGGAACGACGGACGGCUCAACAGGACCAAUCCAAGAAGACAACACCUCAACUGUGGCCAAUCAAAAGCCAGAGACUUUCAGACUCAACCCACUUUUUGUACUGUACUUAACAUGCUUACAAUCGGUUAUCGGGGCUUUUUCUGAUGGUUCCUUGUGAGCCAAAUGAACAGAGCCCGUAUACGUUGUACCAGAUAUCUUUACUCUGAAUAAACUGUCGCUUGUCAUACAAUUUA